UGAAUACCAUCAAUAAAGUUCACUGC
rnacentral:piRNA from 1 species